ensembl:lncRNA
GGAAUGGGGAAGACGGAUGUCUGACGCCAGUGGGUUGAGGAAUAGACAGCUUUAAGUUUAGCUGUGAAGAGGAGGGCAGAGAUGCGGCAGCUGCCGGAGAGACUGAGGGAAGGAUUUCAUCCAACAGCUUGAGCUACAGAGGGGAGACAUGGAAGAGGGGGGCAAAGCUGACGGAGCGAUGUCUUUGUGGAGGGGAUCAGGGGUGGGCCGCGAUUCGCCUUUGCCACGUGUCUGAUGAGAAUGAGACUAGGAGGGAGAAAGUGCAGGUGAAGUCGGAGGAUUUCCAGCAAGAAGUUUGAAGUGUUUCAUCCUGAUGACCUCUAUGUUCUUGGUGAAAUAAGUGAUGCAGUCACCUGCUGCUGGUGAGGGGACAGUCAGAGAAUUCUAGAGUGGGAAGGUUUGAAAUACAUGCAGCACAGAAUAGUGAAACUCACAAGUGCUGCUGGGUGGUUCUGAGAAGCCCACCCAGCCCGGAGGCCGGGGGCCUGUGGGGACCCCCACUCUUCCAGGCUGCACGGUGUUCCAGGAGCAGCCCAGCCUGGGCAUGGUGGACAGGAGCCUGUGAGUCACAAUGGUUGACCGAGGGGUUCUUCUGCUUCCUGUGGCAUUGGCCAGGGUGCUGGGGUGGCUGGAAGGUCCAAACUGACCUCCGUCACAUAGCUAGCAAGUGGGCGCUGGCCUUCUGCCAGGAGUCAGUUCUCCUCCACACCACCUCCCUGUGUGGCUGGACUGAGCUUCUCAUGGCAGGGCAGUGGAUUUCAAGAGUCAGCAACCAACACAGAGUGCAUGUUCCAAGAGGAAGAAAGCAGAAGCUGCCAGACCUUAAGACCCAGGCUCAGAAGUUCCACCACGUUUGGUUCCACCGCAGUCACAGGCAGGGCUAGCCUAAAUGCCAACGGAGGGGAAAUACACUCCACCCUUUGCAUAACCAAACGAGGACGCUCAGGGAAAAUUGCUCCCAGGUGAUCCUCAUUCUGGAAGCCUUUGGUCAAUAAUCAAUAUGUAACGUAAACUCUGUUAAAAUGAUAGCAUAAACAAAAACACGUGAUUGUCAGUAACUAUUAAUAUUUGGAGGAUACAUUAAGUCAACCUUCCAUAGAUGAUGACUUUUAAAAAAUAAACAAAUCCAGUAUUGGUUCUGUUGCUACCUCACAAAGUUUGGUUUAUUCUCACCCUGAGUUUGCGAUCCACGGAAUCCAACCCUGGGCUUGCCUUUGUUUCUUUUUAAGCUUUAAAUUGAUAUAAUUUCCAAUUUACAUGAAAGUUUCAAGAAUAGUUCAAAGAACUCAUGUUCAAGGAACACUUUAUCCAGAUUCACCAACUGUUAAUAUUUUCCCCCUUUUGUGUUAUCAUUCUCCAUCCCCUGUCAUAUUUAAUAUACGUAUGUAUUUUCCUGGACUAUUCAAAAGUGAGUUGCAGACAUCAUGUUCCUGAAUACUUCCUAAAUACGUCAGUGUGUAUUUUUUAAGAACAAGAAUGUUCUCUUAUGUAGCCACAGAACAGCAAGCAAAAUCAGGAAAUCUGACGUUCAUCCAAUGCUGUUUUCCAAUCCAUAGUCCAUAUUCACACGUUGCCAAUCGCCCCAAACAGUCCCUUGUGAACUACGUCUCCCCACAAUCCAGGUCCAAUCUGGGAUCAUGCUUUGCAUCAAGUUCUCAGGUCUCUUCAGCCAGUUUUCGUCUGGAAAAGUCCUUAGUUUUCCUUAGUCCACAACUUCUCAGGCAAGUGGAUUUCUGUGCAGGAGCAGGGGUACUUAGAGCCCUUCCCCUUCCUGCCACAUCUGCUGCCUGCCCUGGUUAGAAUGUAGGUCCCUUCUUGGUCCCCUCAUCCUUCCUGGAGCCCCCAGGUCUUCUGUGGAUCAGGGAGCCCCACUGAGCAGCCUCACCGGGGGG